AAACUAACCAGGAUUCCCCUAGUAACGGCGAGUGAAGCGGGAUGAGCUCAAGCUUAAAAUCUCUGUGCAAGUUUUGCAUGGCGAAUUGUAGUCUAUGGAGGCGCUGUCAGUGCGGCCACUUGGGGUAAGUUCCUUGGAAGAGGACAGCAUCGAGGGUGAUACUCCCGUUUGUACCUGAGUGUGUUGCGCGUACGACACGUUUUCUUCGAGUCGCGUUGUUUGGGACUGCAGCGCAAAGUAGGUGGUAAAUUCCAUCUAAAGCUAAAUAUUGGUGCGAGACCGAUAGCGAACAAGUACCGUGAGGGAAAGAUGAAAAGAACUUUGAAAAGAGAGUUAAAGAGUACCUGAAACUGCUGAAAGGGAAGCGAAUCGUAUCCAGUGUCUAUAAUCCUUGACAUAUUUCAUUGGCGCGUGUGCGCGUGUUGAGCGUUGGAAGCAACUUGUUGCUCCAUGCUUGGCUCUGCGUGUGCUUGCUGUUGCCCUGUGUCUUGGUGGGACGUCAGAGUCAGUUCGUAUGCUGCGGGAAAUGGCUAUUGAGGAGGUAGGUCAGGGUUCGCCUUGGCUGUUAUAUCUUGGUAGCUAGUGGUCGUGGUUGGGACUGAGGUGCCUACAAUGUGCUUUUGGGUCUGUUGGGUUCUCGUUUCUCAACUUGUCUGGAUAGCUUGCUAUGCUGGCGGGUUUGUGGAGGCGAUUGAGUCUGUCAGUAACCUUUGCCGUUCGGGACUUUGACGAAAUGGAGCGAUUCGGC
rnacentral:rRNA from 1 species